GGUGGCUCAGUGGUAGAGUGCUUGCCUUGCAUGCCAGAAGCCCUGGGUUCGAUUCCUCAGCACCA
rnacentral:tRNA from 1 species